rnacentral:rRNA from 1 species
AGUGAACGCUGGCGGUAGGCCUAACACAUGCAAGUCGAACGGCAGCACAGUAAGAGCUUGCUCUUACGGGUGGCGAGUGGCGGACGGGUGAGGAAUACAUCGGAAUCUACUUUUUCUUGGGUGAUAACGUAGGGAAACUUACGCUAAUACCUCAUACGACCUACGGGUUAAAGCAGUGGAUCUUCGGACCUUGCGCGAUUGAAUUAGCCGAUGUCGGAUUAGCUAGUUGGCUGGGUAAAGGCCCACCAAGGCGACGAUCCGUAGCUGGUCUGAGAGGAUGAUCAGCCACACUGGAACUGAGACACGGUCCAGACUCCUACGGGAGGCAGCAGUGGGGAAUAUUGGACAAUGGGCGCAAGCCUGACGCAGCAAUACCGCGUGGGUGAAGAAGGUCUUCGGGUUGUAAAGCCCUUUUGUUAGGAAAGAAAAGCAGUAGGUUAAUACCCCGAUGUUCUGACGGUACCCAAAGAAUAAGCACCGGCUAACUUCGUG